ACAUUUGGAAGCUCCUGCAGAUGCUGAAUAACUGACCUCCAGCCUCUGUUCCACCAGCCACAACUACAGCUUUGAUUGGAGAAGAGACUGAUUUCAGCCACUUUCUCCUGUACAUGUCAGGGCCUGAUCUACAUUGGCAUACGUGGACCUGCCUCGUUCUUUGUAACAGGUAUAAAAGCCUGCCGUUGGUGGAAAAGGAAAAGGUGGUCCAGUUAGACAAGAUGCCACCGGCUUCUGAAACCAGACAUCUUUGAAAACCCACCCAUCUACCUGCAGGAAAAGAGACAGGGUUUCACUAUGUUGGCCAGGAUGUUCAACAACUUCUGCCUUCAAGCGAUCUUCCCUCCUGGGCCUCCCCAAGUGCUGAGUUUACAAGCAUCAGCCACCACACCCAGCCUAUGACAUUUUCUUCAUUAUGGCUGGUACUGCCUCAUGAAAAGGGGGUUCCUCAUGCUGGAUCUGAACAACCCAGCACAGGCAAGUCUGGGGAGCAAGGCAGGAGCCUGCAUGUGGACUCAAAGGACCGGCACCCGAAACAAAGCAGUGGCUGGCACAGGUGGACAAACCAGGCAAGAAAAGCAACUGUCCUUCGGAGCAGAGUCCACGUGAUGGGAAGAAACAGGUCAUGAUACUUUUGAGUGGU
ensembl:lncRNA LINC01531 long intergenic non-protein coding RNA 1531